AAACGAGAGAGAAGAGAGAAACACUCCUUUCCUUCUUUGCAAAGCUGGUGGUCACAGAUUUCACUGAAUCUAUUUGGCACCAUGCUUUGAAUUUUGAAAUUCAGAUUCCACUCUUAAUUCUCUCACAAUUUUUACAUCUUGCUAGAGUCGUAGAGAAGUUGUGUGUUUCGGCUACUAGCGGCGGCGAUGGCGACUACACCCACUAGCAGAGAUACCGGAUCUAGCGGAUUUGGUGGUGAUGGCGGCUAGGGUUUCGCGGCAAGCGGCGAAGAAAGCCGUUUUGUGGUUGUUCAGACCCGACCUAAAAAGGACCACCGUUCCAGCUUUCUUCCACAUCAAUGUUUAGCGACCAUGAAGAGGGAAGAACUGAGAGAAAAAAAGUGUGUGAGAGAGAGAAGGGUGGGGGGGGGAGGAGAGACGAGAGAGAAGAUAGAGGUGGCACAUGGAACUAAGGUUCCGACGACGACAAGCUAGCACUGUGUUAUUGGUGGUGGUAGCGGAUGGUGAUGGCAUAAGGUUUUAGGGUUCUGGUGUUCAAGUGACAUCAGAGACGGUGAGGGAAACAAUUUACAUCUUUUUCAUUGCCAAGCAUCAGGGUUUCUCGACCUUCAGUCUCCAAAAUGUUAUCACUAAGUGGCAAAGACAUAAACAUGUAGUAUAGUAUUUGGGUCCAUGGUUGUUGUAUUUCAGCUUGUUGACAGAUUGGAUGAAGGGAUUAUUUCACCAGAUCUUGGAACACUUGAUUACAAAGGUCUUUACAAGACAAUGUGUGUGAUGUGGUUGAAGUGGCCGGGCGAAUCGUUAUGUCAACAACAUUAACUGUUACAGCCGAUCUUACUCAUAAGCAAGGGUGGAUGUUGCGGGGCAUGAAAUCGGGAUAGCGUGGGCAGUUUUCAAGAUCCAGAAGGCAGAGCGUUCUGAAACCGACGAAUCUCAUGAAAGCUCCAAGUCGGCUUCCUCCAAAUCAUAGUCGUGAAUGAGCCAUGGUUCUUGAUAUAUCUAACUACUAAUAAACUGUAACCAGUUUAAUGUAAUUAUUACUAAUAAACUGUAACUAAUUUGAUGUAUGUAAUUACUAAGUUGGGUUUGUCCAAAUAUAUGUAAAUACCAUGAAACAGGAUAUGAGGAA